CUUCAAGGACCCGAGCCCCAGGGGCCGCGCGCGGUCCUUGCCGUAGGUGGCGAGCAGGGCCUGCGCCUC
rnacentral:antisense_RNA from 1 species